UGUCCCGUGGUGUAAUGGCAACACAACUGGUUUUGGUCCAGUCAUUUCAAGUUCGAAUCUUGACGGGAUAA
rnacentral:tRNA from 1 species